CAGGGAAUAGUUUAUUUAAAAUAUUAAUUUUGGAGAUUAAUGAAAGAUUAAUUUUAUUUUUUCCUGA
rnacentral:tRNA from 1 species